UGUGUGGUGGUGAAGAGCCAUCGCUGGUGCCCUCGGGCCGUGGCCCUGACCUGCUCGAGCUGCCGGCAGCUUGCCCACUGCAGCUCUUGCGUUAGCAGCACAAAGAUCAACAGAGUGGAGAAGGCAAACAAUGUCUUAAUCUUGCUACGAAAUAGUUUGGACCUUGUAGACGCUCAGAAAAACAAGAAAGUCUGUUUUAGUGACUACAGCCCAUGUCAGGACAUUGCAGCUUGUAUUUCUACAGAGCAAAGCUGCACACGAGGGGCCUUCAGCAAGGAUGUGGUCCCUAGCGAGACAACAUGGCCUCUGCAGAGCCGCUGCCCAGGCCUCAGGCGGCCUCGGGAGGUGCCCCUGCUGCAUCCCGAACCUCGAACUGUGGCCCUGGCCUUGGUCUACGCGUGCGGCCCUCUUGGAAACCUCAGCAGACCCUGGUGGAUCUACAGGACUUGCUCAGCAGGCAUGGCUGAGCAAGAAUUUAAACUCUAGGGCAAAACAAGUACUCGGAUUUGCAGCUGUUUUAGGACCAGGUGGGCAGAAAAUGUUUGUGCUUUUAAAAUACAAGGCGGUUGCAUCCACACGGACCAAAAGCGCUCUGGGGACGGAGUUUUAGAUCAUUGCCACUGCGGGACGUCCUGCUGCACGGUGCCUUCUGCAUCUUGACCUGGGUGCUGGUACCAUGAGUGUGUCCCUUCGUGAAAAUCUCUGAGCUGUGCCCUUGAUUUGUGCACUUUUCUGUAUGAAUGUCUUACUGCAAAAAAGUCUAUAUGGAAAAUGAUUAGUGCCAAGCCUAUGUAGAGAGCAUUAGUUUGUCUGCCCCAAAUCCAUUCUAUAUUUUAAUUGAAUGUCUUAUUGCUCAAACAACUGUUAAUCGGGUAUUCUGUUACAAGAAGCCAAAUAUAUCCUUGUGUUGUCCA